rnacentral:lncRNA from 1 species
GACAUGCAUAUUACAUUAAGUGUCUCGUUUGGCUUUUUAUUUCUUAAGGGGUAUCUGUUCCCCUUUCCCUUCGGGGUAUCUAUUUUUUCCUCCCGUAUCUGAUCUAAAAAUAUGUAAGAGGACCGCUUCCAGUAGAUGACGACGUACCCUCUAAUGAAAGUGGUAUUGCACUAUCUGUAGGGGUCACCCGUAGUUAAGUAAUGUCGUGACUGUAGAUAUCUGUUUGGGCCACU